rnacentral:lncRNA from 1 species
AUGUAUACUGAUACGCCUUCACCACUGUUAAUCAGAAGAAAUAAAGGUCAAUUAAAGCAAUAUGUACAUGUAUUUAUGCGGUUCUCACAGCAUUGAACGAUCCUCUAUGUAUAUAUACACAAAGAUUCGAUAUAAAAACACGCACAAAUGGUAUGAAUUAGAGAACAAAACACACCUUUCAUCGAUGAAACAUUCAUAAAAUAUGCAUAUCACACCAACCAUGUAGGCUAAAAGACAUAAAGCUUGUAGCUUUUUAUGUAUUUAAAUCAUCCUACUAGUUUUUUUUUUUUUUUUUUUUUGUUGCAAAACAAAUGACUGUUGUUGCAUAAUUACAAAAAUAAAUCUUUUGUAUUCACAUAUCUUCGGGGGCGUAGCUUUGUGGGGGUCAGGAGGGGCGCCCAACCCCCCGAACUUUUCGCUCAGUAGUGCGCGGUAUGUAGUUUUCGUAUAGAAUUUUUUAGGUAUAUACGUUUUCGACCCCCCCGAUCGUAAAUCUCAAGCUUCGCCACUGCAUAUCUUAAUUUGUACAAAAUAGCACAUUCUAGUGUGUUUUUGGCAUAAAUUCCACCAUAAAAAUGGUUAAUUUGAUGUGAAAAUUCAAGUAUAUUGGUUUACAAAAGUUGAUUUGUCAAAAGUGAAUCAAAGUAUCAAACACCAAAGCACAACUCAGAGUAAAUUAGUAAAUUACAGCUUGCAGCAUCAAAUACAUUCACUUUUCACAUAAUAGAAUAAAGAUUAAAAAAAAACACAUUAUUGUAUUCACUUCAAAGUUCAAACCACUAAAGAUGAUAUUUUAUGACACAACAAAAAACCACUUUUUGCAUAAUUCAAUACUAUUACUUUUAUGAAAAAACAAUCAAUUAAACAAAUCAGUCAGCUUCCAAAAAAAAAACUCAAAUUGGUCUAUUAUGAAAAAAAAAAAAAAAAAAAAAGAAAGAAAACAAAUCACAUGGAGCCCAGAUAAUGAAAAUACAAACCUCUUCUAGCAAGCUCAGAUGAUGAAAAUCCAGUUGAUGUGAUAAGAAGUGAAAGAAUCUGUCCCAACACAAGACCAACCACUGUCUUGUUUGACACAAUCUCCUUAAAACUAACCAUGAUUAGAUU